rnacentral:rRNA from 1 species
CCUACGGGUGGCAGCAGUGAGGAAUAUUGGUCAAUGGGCGAGAGCCUGAACCAGCCAAGUCGCGUGAAGGAUGACGGCCCUACGGGUUGUAAACCUCUUUUGUCAGGGAGCAAUUGAGUCCACGUGUGGGCUUAGCGAGAGUACCUGAAGAAAAAGCAUCGGCAAACUCCGUGCCAUCACCCGCGGUAUCACGGUGGAUGCGAGCGUUAUCCGGAUUUUUUGGGUGUAAAGGGUGCGUUGGCGGAAUAUCAAGUCGGUGGCAAAAAUUCGGGGCUAAACCCCGUCGUGCCGUUGAAACUGAUGUUCUUGAGUGGGCGAGAGGUAUGCGGAAUGCGUGGUGUAGCGGUGAAAUGCAUAGAUAUCACGCAGAACUCCGAUUGCGAAGGCAGCAUACUGGAGCCCAACUGACGCUGAGGCACGAAAGCGUGGGUAUCGAACAGGAUUAGAUACCCCUGUAGUC